rnacentral:misc_RNA from 1 species
CAUUUUUUCGAUACGUUGUGUUCUAAAUUUAAAAGUUAAUUAUAGGUUACUUUUAUAAACUAUUUCCAAUUUUUUUAAACUUCCGCCCAAAAAUUAUCAUGAGCGUAUUUGCUACAUAUCAGAAUUGAAAUGCGUCUUGAAACAUAGAAGAGAAAUAGUGACUUUACAGAUUUCUAAGGAAACAUUACAGAAGUUUAAUUACGACAAAGAUCUGCCCAGAAUAUCUCGUGACUCUGCCUGCCUUAGCACUUGUGACCUGGACUUGUAUUAUAAGGAUAAGGAAGACUUUGAACCUAAAAAAGGUUUAAACAUACUGGAAAUAAAAAUCACAUCUUUCCCAAAAGUAAGAGUCCUAAGAGAUAUCAUUUUCGAUAUUUAUGACAUCGUGUUAAGAAGCGGUGGCGUUAUAAACUUGUGCAUUGGCAGCUCAAUUAUUUCUAUAAUGGAAAUAAUUAUAGCAAUACUAAAAUAUUGCGUGUACUUUUUAAUAAAGAUACUUCAAUCAAUGGAAAAUCGUGUGCUAACAAUGUUUUACAAAAUGAAAAAAUAAUGUUUUCAAAAAAAUAUCAUUUAUUUAACGUAAAUUGUUAACAUGUUAAAUGUAAACAAAUAUAUGUAUCAAUGUUUUUUCUACAUCUUCAAUCGUAGUACGUGAAAAAACAAUAAAAUUACAGACGUCAUUAUCUGAAAAAAAAAAUUGUGAUUUAGUUGUUGUAUAUUUUAUUCUACUAUGCUUUUUAAAUAUUUACUUUAAAAAAACAAGUUGUUAAAAACUACUUCAAUCGUAACACAGCUUAUACAUUUAACACAUAACAGGUUUGAGUUGGUAAAGGUAACUAAUGUUUUUAUAUAUUCAUUAAUAUGAACUAGUGGUCGUCCAGUGGUCAAAAUUCCACCAUAAUUAAUUUAAAUUAUAAGUUUAAACACAUAUAUUAGGUCCUUACAUAUAAAAAUCGGCGUUUUGCAUGUUCGGAACAUAAAGUCGUUGUUUAGGCUGUGACUAAUAUGAAGAUUUUUAUUAUAAAUAUUUUAAGUUAAAAGUUUGAUUGUACAAACUUGCUACACAGGAAAUUGAUUUUUUUAACUUGGAACACCGUUCAUCCUAGGCGUCAGUUACGUGCAAAAGAAAUCACAAAAUGGAAGUCGAAAUAGUCUAACCAAAUCAAUUAUAAUUACUCAUGUAAGUAAAA